rnacentral:lncRNA from 1 species
AGUGUUGAAGUGAUAAAACCACUUAAUGAGACGGAAACUAGGCAAGGACUUCACCUUUGUUUCCUUAUCCUAAUCGUUCACUAAGUUUAUUGUAAACUAUGUAGUGAAAAAUAACCACAUGCUCUCCAAAAUGUUUGAUGUGUAUAACACAAUUGAAAAAGGUUUCAAGAGAGAUAGUGGGAGUUUAGGGACCAUGACUAUUGUAGUCAAAAGGAGACGUCAGAUAAAGAAGAUAAAUAACUCCAAGGGAACAAACUUUCUUUAUGAAAGGAUGGAUAUUGGAAGGGGUAUUUGCAAGAAAUGUAUUGCAAGUGUCAAGGACACACCUUUCGAAAGGUGUUGUAAAUUGUUCUUGAAUAGUUCAAAACAGUUGGUUCUUCUACUUGAAUGCUUGAUUCUGUAUUAGUAACUAUGUUUUACAAAUCGUUGUAAAAGUGUGACUAAUAAGAAGUAGAAGAUAUAUGAGAGAAGAGAAAGUACUUCACAUUCGGAAACGUGAAUCAAAUAUAGAUCUCUGCGAAAGCAGAUGGUACUUACUUCCUCAUAUGAACUACCAAAGAAAUUGGAAAAACAUAGAUUGUCUUUAUAUUCCAAUUUUAAGGAACUAAAUUCCGUCACUAUGUGAAAUGGAUAAAUGUUUUGUUUGACAAAACAAUGUUCUUUAUUAAUCAAUGAUUGGAUUAUGGUAAUCUAAUUAAUUGUCUCUAUAGUAGAGAUAAUAUGGUAGUGUUAACUGUUUAGAAAAUAAUGAUGCUUAAAACCCAAAAGGUUGCAAGGUAGUGACUAAUCUCAACUAAAGUUGUGAUACCUCUAAAACAUAAAUUACGAGUUGGUCAUAAAUGGACGCUUUGGAUCGUUAGAUCCGGAUCCAAUACCUUCUUGUUAAAAUUGUAUAGAGGCGAAAUGUUCGAAUCUUUAUUCUUUUGGAAAGAAGAAAGAAUCACAAAGUUGUUGAGGUUAAUUCACUUAAAUGUUAGUGGCACUUGUCCGCAAACAUAAUAUUACUCAUGUUGAAUAACAUUCACCGAAGAUCACUCUCGGUUGGACUAUAGUUUAUUUUGAAUAAACACAAGUCCGAAUACUUUGCAAACUAUUUCAAAGAAUUCAAGUAAUGUAAGUUGAUGAGUAAGACAUCUAAAGUAUUUACCUCCUUAGAUUUGAUCCAAGAAAGGUAACACUUUAGAUAAGUUUCCUUGAAAGAUAUCAAGGAAAAUAGCAUCAUAAGAUAAUAUAUUUCUCCAUUAGGAGAAGAACGAACUCGAAUAAGAUUUAGUUCGUUAGAUGUUAUCUAUUAUCCAUAUAUAGGAUAUAUACUUCUAAAACAAUAUGAUUGUCAAUGAGAAGAUCUUCCAAUAUUUUCAUGACUCCAUAAGAUGUAGUUGGAAAGAAAGACAAAUCUUAAGCAUGUUAAGAUUUGGGGUUGUGUGCUAAUAAGCAAUAUUUGUUAGAUAACAAUCUUGUAGGAUAUCCUUAAAAUAACUUUUGGAUAUCGCUUCUAUAAACCAACUAACAAAUGUUGUUUUGUUGGGUAGUUCAUUGUAAUUCUACAAUGUGAUUUGCCUAAAAGCAAAUGAACGAGAGAUAGAACUCAAAGAAUGGGUUCUUUGAGAGACAAGAAAGUAAUCAACAAAUAUAACAACCUAGUUCCUAUACCACAAGCUCCAAGGUAGUCGAUAAGGAUUUAUAAACCGUCUCAGUUGAAUGGUUUUGAACUUUAUGACUACAUUGAGUGCAUAUACGAUAUAUACUCAAGAAAAUGGUAAAGUACCAUUUGACUCGAAAUAAUGAAACCUUAAUAGCUAAUUGGUAGCUUAAGGUGACUACAAUCAAAGAGAAUGGUUGACUUUAAAGGAACCAUUUUGACGUAGUCUUAGUUUCAAUUAAUUCGAAGAUUGCUAGCUACAACUAAAUGGUGAUUCAAUGUUUUGACAUAAUAUGGGUUUCCGAAACCAUUAUUGAGAUAGUCUUGAUAAUAUAUGUCUAAAACUAUAAAUCACAAGACAUGUAAGUUGUAGAGAUCCAUCCAUCAUGGAUCGUAGCAAGUUAGUGGGAGCUAUUUGCAUUUUAUGAGAAAAAUGAUCAAAUCGUUUGAUUUCUCAUAAAGAUGUAAAUGAAUCUUUUGUUUACUAGUUUUACAAAAGAUUAGUGGGAGUUAAUCAUGUUCCUAAAAUUUAAAUAUAUAUGAUAUAUUAAUUUUGGAAAUGAAAAGAAUACUUCUUCGUUAAAGUUAUGACUUUAAUACAUUAUAUGAAGAUAGAAUGUAUAUGGGAGAUAUAGUCUAUAUACAUGGGAUGGAAAUCUAUAAUGAUAUAUUUCAUGAUAUAAUUGGAUUAUAUCAAUCCCUAAUAAUAGACAAUUGAUGCUAGGAAGUUUCUCAUAUGAUGAUAAACUUCAAUAAGAAGGACGAUUCUAGUGAGACUAGCAAGUUGCCCUUCUCAAAGGGAAUGUACCCUUUGACUCCCAAAGAAAUAAUGCGUAAAUUGAAUCCUUUAUACAUAUGCAGAAAGGUUAUUUAUGUAUUUCAUAUUGUAUGAAAAACAUUGAUAUGAGUUGUACCUAGAACGGUACAAGACGAUAUCAGUGCAAGCCCAGGAUCAGAACCAUGGCAACUGUCAAGUGAGUCCUUAAGUAUUUAAGAAAUACUAAAGGAUAAAUUCCUCAAAGAUCGAGGAAGAAUCAAAGUAAUGUAAUGGAAGCGUAAAUGUAUUAGAUUAUGAAUCUAAUCCAUCAUUGGAUGUUUCUUCAUUAUGAAUGAAGCGAUAAACGAAUAUCUCUUUAUUAUGACUAAAGAGAUAUUUGGAUGGAAACAUUAAAGUAAUGACUUUAGUGUGUUCCAUUAUGAAUGCAAGAUAUAUUGCCAUAUAGAAGUUUACAACAAUGUUGUUUGGAUGGGAAAGUUCAUUUAUGAACUCUCUAUUCGAUUCCAACCAGAAAGUGUAUGACACUAAUGGGGCGAUAGCUCAAGCCUGGGAAUCAAGGUCUCAUCAAGAUCCGAACUCAAAUGAGAGACUGAACCACAUGAUUGAGAAUCAUGUAUAAUGGUGAAGUCGUUAUACUCAAGGUUGCUUCUAUGGAUAACACAUAUAGAUAUCCACUGUCUAGGCCUACUACUCAGCCAUUUAUGAAAUGACUACAGAAGAGGUAUCAUACUGAUGACCAAGCUGAUUGGCUCUAGUGCAAGUGGGAGAUUGUUGGAAAUGUGCCCUAAAGCCAAUCAUGUGAUGAUACUUUACGGACAUUUCACAUGUUAAACUAAUUUAGUUUUACAUAUAAAGGGCAAAGAUUAUUGUUUGAGCCGUCUCAUAUAAAUGUUAUAUGCUUAAACGAUAAAG